rnacentral:rRNA from 1 species
GCGGAAAAUAUAACGGGGCUAAAAUGAGUACCGAAGCUUUAGACUUAGUUUUACUAAGUGGUAGGAGAGCGUUGUAUUUGCGUUGAAGGUAUACCGGUAAGGAGUGCUGGAGCGAAUACAAGUGAGCAUGCAGGCAUGAGUAGCGAUAAUUGGGGUGAGAAUCCCCAACGCCGUAAACCCAAGGUUUCCUACGCGAUGCUCGUCAUCGUAGGGUUAGCCGGGUCCUAAGCAAAGUCCGAAAGGGGUAUGCGAUGGAAAAUUGGUUAAUAUUCCAAUGCCAACUAUAAUGUGCGAUGGAAGGACGCUUAGAGUUAAGCAAGCUAGCGGAUGGUAGUGCUAGUCGAAAGGUGUAGGUUAAGAUCCAGGCAAAUCCGGAUCUUUUUAAGCCGAGACCCCACAGGCGUUUGAAGUUCUUCGGAAUGGAUAGCGAAUUGCUGAUACUGUCGAGCCAAGAAAAGUUUCUAAGUUUAGUUAUAGUUGCCCGUACCGUAAACCGACACAGGUGGGUGGGAUGAGUAUUCUAAGGCGCGUGGAAGAACUCUCUUCAAGGAACUCUGCAAAAUAGCACCGUAUCUUCGGUAUAAGGUGUGCCUAACUUUGUGAAGGAUUUACUCCGUAAGCAUUGAAGGUUACAACAAAGAGUCCCUCCCGACUGUUUACCAAAAACACAGCACUCUGCUAACUCGUAAGAGGAUGUAUAGGGUGUGACGCCUGCCCGGUGCUCGAAGGUUAAUUGAUGACGUUAGCUCUGCGAAGCGUUUGAUCGAAGCCCGAGUAAACGGCGGCCGUAACUAUAACGGUCCUAAGGUAGCGAAAUUCCUUGUCGAUUAAAUAUCGACCUGCAUGAAUGGCGUAACGAGAUGGGAGCUGUCUCGAAGAGGGAUCCAGUGAAAUUGUAGUGGAGGUGAAAAUUCCUCCUACCCGCGGCAAGACGGAAAGACCCCGUGGACCUUUACUACAGCUUGACACUGCUAUUGGGAUAAAAAUGUGCAGGAUAGGUGGGAGGCUUUGAUCCAUAGACGCCAGUUUAUGGUGAGCCAUUGUUGAGAUACCACUCUUUUUUAUUCUGAUAGCUAACUAGCUUGAGUUAUCCUCAAGUAGGACAAUGUCUGGUGGGUAGUUUGACUGGGGCGGUCGCCUCCCAAAAUGUAACGGAGGCUUACAAAGGUUGGCUCAGAACGGUUGGAAAUCGUUCGCAGAGUAUAAAGGCAAAAGCCAGCUUAACUGCGAGACAUACACGUCAAGCAGGGACGAAAGUCGGUCUUAGUGAUCCGGUGGUUCUGUAUGGAAGGGCCAUCGCUCAAAGGAUAAAAGGUACCCCGGGGAUAACAGGCUGAUCUCCCCCAAGAGCUCACAUCGACGGGGAGGUUUGGCACCUCGAUGUCGGCUCAUCGCAUCCUGGGGCU